rnacentral:rRNA from 1 species
CUACGGGGUGCUCCAGUGAGGAAUAUUGCACAAUGGGGGGAACCCUGACGCAGCAACGCCGCGUGGAGGAUGACGCAUUUCGGUGUGUAAACUCCUUUUAUAUGUCAAGAAAAUGACGGUAGCAUAUGAAUAAGCACCGGCUAACUCCGUGCCAGCAGCCGCGGUAAUAAGGAGGGUGCAAGCGUUACUCGGAAUCACUGGGCGUAAAGGACGCGUAGGCGGGUUGGAAAGUCAGGUGUGAAAUCCUACAGCUUAACUGUAGAACUGCACUUGAAACUUCUAAUCUAGAGUAUGGGAGGGGGAGAUGGAAUUAGUGGUGUAGUGGUAAAAUCCGUAGAUAUCACUAGGAAUACCUAAAGCGAAGGCGAUCUCCUGGAACAUUACUGACGCUAAGGCGUGAAAGCGUGGGGAGCAAACAGGAUUAGAUACCCCGGUAGUC